rnacentral:rRNA from 1 species
GACGAACGCUGGCGGCGUGCUUAACACAUGCAAGUCGAACGGAAAGGCCCCUUUGGGGGUACUCGAGUGGCGAACGGGUGAGUAACACGUGAGUAACCUGCCCUUGACUUCGGGAUAACUUCAGGAAACUGGGGCUAAUACCGGAUAGGAAUCCUUGCUGCAUGGUGGGGGUUGGAAAGCUUCGGCGGUUUUGGAUGGACUCGCGGCUUAUCAGCUUGUUGGUGGGGUAGUGGCUUACCAAGGCUUUGACGGGUAGCCGGCCUGAGAGGGCGACCGGCCACAUUGGGACUGAGAUACGGCCCAGACUCCUACGGGAGGCAGCAGUGGGGAAUAUUGCACAAUGGGCGGAAGCCUGAUGCAGCAACGCCGCGUGCGGGAUGACGGCCUUCGGGUUGUAAACCGCUUUCAGCAGGGGCGAAGCUUGUGGUGACGGUACCUGCAGAAGAAGCACCGGCAAACUACGUG